CAACAGAUGUUAGCUCAGGUGCCCAGCUUUAAAAAAAAAAAGUUCCUUUUUUCAGCCAAAUGGGAAGAUUUGCAAAAGCCAUUUGGGGGCCUUUGAAUGCCAUCCCAGAUGGAGACAAGCCCCAAGAUUCCAAACAGCCUAGACCCUGCCCACAUUCUGCUCUGUUACACCAGGACGACAACAGAGGGGCGUCGCUGGUGCGGCCCCUCUGCACCAGGACCUGAGGAGCCGGCUCCCCAGAAGCCCGUGGAUUAGGAAGGUCUCCUGGGGCUGCUUCAGGAGCUGGCGGGUAACAACUCCCUUUUGUUUUGCUGUCUAGCAUGUGACCAGAAUGCUGCCAGCUAAUUUUAACCCCACUGAAGAACUGGAAAAAAACAAAACGCAACAAAAAAAAAACCUACCUUGCAUCUGGAGAGAGAACCGCUGUGGGCUGGAUAAAAGCUUUUUCAGCCUGCAUUCCUUCCUGUUUCAGUUUCCAAACUUGCAUUAUCGGUAACCUGAAAAAUGAUGUUUCACCAAAUUCCUGGAUAUUGCACAAGAGGACAAUGAGUCUAUUUCGGGUGCUAUGAGUGUGUCUGGCACAGACCCUGGGAGCCAUUGUUUUCAGGAGGGAGAAUGCUUUGGGGUUUCCUGGUGCUUUCCUUCUAGGGUCUCAAAGCCCCCAAAGCAUCAGGAAUUAAUGGAGGACGUCGUGGAGUCCCUCACCUUGGAUACUGGCUUCUCAAAGCAUUCCUGUGGCGGUUAAUUGUUGCUUCUGGCUGGGUGGCUGGUGAUGCUGGUGACAAGGUGCAGAAUCUCAAGAGCCAGGAAAUUUAGAGGCUUGGAUCAGAUAGUGUGUAGCUAGGCAGCUGCUGCCAGCUAUGCUAAAACCAGGUAGUGAGGUGGGCUGUCAUUAACCUGAGGGUCUACAAGGCAGUCCCAGCAGAUCAGCUCACGGCGAAGAGACUGAGGGGAAAGGCCCCAGUUCAUGCUGCAGCCCUCCCGGCAACCAGGAGGGCUUGGUGGCAGUUGUUCUGACAGCUGCUGAGGGCUUCAGCUGCCGAAAAAGCCAUUUGCUCAGGCCUACCCUGUCUGGCCAACUUCUACGUAUUUAAAGGCUCCUCCUUGGUCUCUCAGGCCCCCCCUCUCCACCUGAGUCCUCAGGCAAAGACGCGUCUUUGGAAACACCGGCAACCGCCUGGGAGACCUUCGCCCCGUCGUCUGCCUGUCCACUGCUGCUGUAACCUGCCCACAGUCAUCAAGAUCAGUUAGCAAAUUCCCAAAUUAAGGUUCUGUUGACUUUGUUGUUCCAAAGGCUUGUUUUGAGCAGGAUGUUGUGCUUUAAUUAAAAAGAUGAGAGCUCAUGAGUAAGUAAAACUAUUUCUGAAUCUUCGCAA